rnacentral:rRNA from 1 species
UAAGCGACUAAGCGUACACGGUGGAUGCCCUGGCAGUCAGAGGCGAUGAAGGACGUGCUAAUCUGCGAUAAGCGUCGGUAAGGUGAUAUGAACCGUUAUAACCGGCGAUUUCCGAAUGGGGAAACCCAGUGUGAUUCGUCACACUAUCAUUAACUGAAUCCAUAGGUUAAUGAGGCGAACCGGGGGAACUGAAACAUCUAAGUACCCCGAGGAAAAGAAAUCAACCGAGAUUCCCCCAGUAGCGGCGAGCGAACGGGGAGCAGCCCAGAGCCUGAAUCAGUGUGUGUGUUAGUGGAAGCGUCUGGAAAGGCGCGCGAUACAGGGUGACAGCCCCGUACACAAAAAUGCACAUGCUGUGAGCUCGAUGAGUAGGGCGGGACACGUGGUAUCCUGUCUGAAUAUGGGGGGACCAUCCUCCAAGGCUAAAUACUCCUGACUGACCGAUAGUGAACCAGUACCGUGAGGGAAAGGCGAAAAGAACCCCGGCGAGGGGAGUGAAAAAGAACCUGAAACCGUGUACGUACAAGCAGUGGGAGCACGCUUAGGCGUGUGACUGCGUACCUUUUGUAUAAUGGGUCAGCGACUUAUAUUCUGUAGCAAGGUUAACCGAAUAGGGGAGCCGAAGGGAAACCGAGUCUUAACUGGGCGUUAAGUUGCAGGGUAUAGACCCGAAACCCGGUGAUCUAGCCAUGGGCAGGUUGAAGGUUGGGUAACACUAACUGGAGGACCGAACCGACUAAUGUUGAAAAAUUAGCGGAUGACUUGUGGCUGGGGGUGAAAGGCCAAUCAAACCGGGAGAUAGCUGGUUCUCCCCGAAAGCUAUUUAGGUAGCGCCUCGUGAAUUCAUCUCCGGGGGUAGAGCACUGUUUCGGCAAGGGGGUCAUCCCGACUUACCAACCCGAUGCAAACUGCGAAUACCGGAGAAUGUUAUCACGGGAGACACACGGCGGGUGCUAACGUCCGUCGUGAAGAGGGAAACAACCCAGACCGCCAGCUAAGGUCCCAAAGUCAUGGUUAAGUGGGAAACGAUGUGGGAAGGCCCAGACAGCCAGGAUGUUGGCUUAGAAGCAGCCAUCAUUUAAAGAAAGCGUAAUAGCUCACUGGUCGAGUCGGCCUGCGCGGAAGAUGUAACGGGGCUAAACCAUGCACCGAAGCUGCGGCAGCGACGCUUAUGCGUUGUUGGGUAGGGGAGCGUUCUGUAAGCCUGUGAAGGUGUGCUGUGAGGCAUGCUGGAGGUAUCAGAAGUGCGAAUGCUGACAUAAGUAACGAUAAAGCGGGUGAAAAGCCCGCUCGCCGGAAGACCAAGGGUUCCUGUCCAACGUUAAUCGGGGCAGGGUGAGUCGACCCCUAAGGCGAGGCCGAAAGGCGUAGUCGAUGGGAAACAGGUUAAUAUUCCUGUACUUGGUGUUACUGCGAAGGGGGGACGGAGAAGGCUAUGUUGGCCGGGCGACGGUUGUCCCGGUUUAAGCGUGUAGGCUGGUUUUCCAGGCAAAUCCGGAAAAUCAAGGCUGAGGCGUGAUGACGAGGCACUACGGUGCUGAAGCAACAAAUGCCCUGCUUCCAGGAAAAGCCUCUAAGCAUCAGGUAACAUCAAAUCGUACCCCAAACCGACACAGGUGGUCAGGUAGAGAAUACCAAGGCGCUUGAGAGAACUCGGGUGAAGGAACUAGGCAAAAUGGUGCCGUAACUUCGGGAGAAGGCACGCUGAUAUGUAGGUGAAGUCCCUCGCGGAUGGAGCUGAAAUCAGUCGAAGAUACCAGCUGGCUGCAACUGUUUAUUAAAAACACAGCACUGUGCAAACACGAAAGUGGACGUAUACGGUGUGACGCCUGCCCGGUGCCGGAAGGUUAAUUGAUGGGGUCAGCGCAAGCGAAGCUCUUGAUCGAAGCCCCGGUAAACGGCGGCCGUAACUAUAACGGUCCUAAGGUAGCGAAAUUCCUUGUCGGGUAAGUUCCGACCUGCACGAAUGGCGUAAUGAUGGCCAGGCUGUCUCCACCCGAGACUCAGUGAAAUUGAACUCGCUGUGAAGAUGCAGUGUACCCGCGGCAAGACGGAAAGACCCCGUGAACCUUUACUAUAGCUUGACACUGAACAUUGAGCCUUGAUGUGUAGGAUAGGUGGGAGGCUUAGAAGUGUGGACGCCAGUCUGCAUGGAGCCGACCUUGAAAUACCACCCUUUAAUGUUUGAUGUUCUAACGUUGACCCGUAAUCCGGGUUGCGGACAGUGUCUGGUGGGUAGUUUGACUGGGGCGGUCUCCUCCUAAAGAGUAACGGAGGAGCACGAAGGUUGGCUAAUCCUGGUCGGACAUCAGGAGGUUAGUGCAAUGGCAUAAGCCAGCUUGACUGCGAGCGUGACGGCGCGAGCAGGUGCGAAAGCAGGUCAUAGUGAUCCGGUGGUUCUGAAUGGAAGGGCCAUCGCUCAACGGAUAAAAGGUACUCCGGGGAUAACAGGCUGAUACCGCCCAAGAGUUCAUAUCGACGGCGGUGUUUGGCACCUCGAUGUCGGCUCAUCACAUCCUGGGGCUGAAGUAGGUCCCAAGGGUAUGGCUGUUCGCCAUUUAAAGUGGUACGCGAGCUGGGUUUAGAACGUCGUGAGACAGUUCGGUCCCUAUCUGCCGUGGGCGCUGGAGAACUGAGGGGGGCUGCUCCUAGUACGAGAGGACCGGAGUGGACGCAUCACUGGUGUUCGGGUUGUCAUGCCAAUGGCACUGCCCGGUAGCUAAAUGCGGAAGAGAUAAGUGCUGAAAGCAUCUAAGCACGAAACUUGCCCCGAGAUGAGUUCUCCCUGACUCCUUGAGAGUCCUGAAGGAACGUUGAAGACGACGACGUUGAUAGGCCGGGUGUGUAAGCGCAGCGAUGCGUUGAGCUAACCGGUACUAAUGAACCGUGAGGCUUAACCU